UCCUCAACGUCCUCGUCGCAAUCUCCGCCGUAUGGGGCCUCUAAUCUGGGGCGUUUGUUACUUCUCACCCCAUGUUUUGGAUGGAUGAGCUUCAACUGCUUCUUCAAAUCCUUGUACGACAAAAACUUGUCUCGCCAAUCAGAAGUACCAUCAAUUGAGGUUACUCGUGAUCUUCCAGAUGUUGACAGGAAUGGAUAUAUUUUCUCUGAUGGCAUAGGUAUGACCACUCUUGAUAUUGCAGUGGAAGUUUCAGAGAGUUUGAAAUGGACAUGGCAAGACAUGAGUAGUGAGGAUAAGGGAAACUAUUACAAGAGGAAUGAGAAUAAAGAGGGGAAAGAAAGGAAGACAAGGCAUCUAAAAAUAUUUGUAUUGAGCAGGUUUGAAUUGAGAACCGGAGUCUCAAAUUGCUAGGAUUAAUUUUGCUAUGUAGGAGAGAUCUGGUCUCUCAAAUUGCUAGGACUUGAUCGUCUUGUUUUCUAGUAAUUUGAUGUUGGUUCUCGUUAGCAACAUUGUAGCCGAUUGUGGCCAAUAUUACUAGUUAAUGAAAAUAUUGCAGUAGAAUAUCCCGAA